GACUGAGUAACUGCUAGAUCCUUGGACUUCCAUUCACAGCUGCGACUGAACCAUUGUUGGGAAUUGGGCUGCCGACUAUGAAUGAUGCCCACAAAUCAAGAGCAGGUCUUUGAAGGUUAUACCCAAGUCUGAUUCCAGCCUGAAGUCUCUGCUUCCUGGUCUACUUUGAUGGAGGGACACUCCACCACACAUUUCCAUCACCAACUGCUCCUGACAUGCUUCUGUGCCAUGGCAGUCUCUGCAGUUUCCUGCUAAACAUCAACUGUAUCAAGAAAGAGGAAACAGCUUCAGCAAGCAGUUAAUAUCUAACCCAGUACUUUGCGCGUAUUGACUGAUGGCAUCAGCAGGUGCCGCUUUGGCUGAA
rnacentral:lncRNA from 1 species